rnacentral:rRNA from 1 species
CGAACGCUGGCGGCGUGCCUAAUACAUGCAAGUAGAACGCACAGGAUGCACCGUAGUUUACUACACCGUAUUCUGUGAGUUGCGAACGGGUGAGUAACGCGUAGGUAACCUGCCUGGUAGCGGGGGAUAACUAUUGGAAACGAUAGCUAAUACCGCAUAAGAACAUUUACUGCAUGGUAGAUGUUUAAAAGGUGCAAAUGCAUCACUACCAGAUGGACCUGCGUUGUAUUAGCUAGUAGGUGAGGUAACGGCUCACCUAGGCGACGAUACAUAGCCGACCUGAGAGGGUGAUCGGCCACACUGGGACUGAGACACGGCCCAGACUCCUACGGGAGGCAGCAGUAGGGAAUCUUCGGCAAUGGGGGGAACCCUGACCGAGCAACGCCGCGUGAGUGAAGAAGGUUUUCGGAUCGUAAAGCUCUGUUGUUAAGGAAGAACGAGUGUGAGAAUGGAAAGUU